rnacentral:rRNA from 1 species
GGCCUUGACAUACUAAGAACUUUCCCAGAGAUGGAUUGGUGCCUUCGGGAACUUAGAUACAGGUGCUGCAUGGCUGUCGUCAGCUCGUGUCGUGAGAUGUUGGGUUAAGUCCGCAACGAGCGCAACCCUUUUCCUUAUUUGCCAGCGGGUAAUGCCGGGAACUUUAAGGAUACUGCCAGUGACAAACUGGAGGAAGGCGGGGACGACGUCAAGUCAUCAUGGCCCUUACGGCCAGGGCUACACACGUGCUACAAUGGUCGGUACAAAGGGUUGCUACCUCGCGAGAGGAUGCUAAUCUCAAAAAGCCGAUCGUAGUCCGGAUCGCAGUCUGCAACUCGACUGCGUGAAGUCGGAAUCGCUAGUAAUCGCGGAUCAGAAUGCCGCGGUGAAUACGUUCCCGGGCCUUGUACACACCGCCCGUCACACCAUGGGAGUUUGUUGCACCAGAAGUAGGUAGUCUAACCGCAAGGAGGACGCUUACCACGGUGUGGCCGAUGACUGGGGUGAAGUCGUAACAAGGUAAGCGUAGAUGA